rnacentral:rRNA from 1 species
UGAAGUUAGCGGCGGACGGGUGAGUAACACGUGGGUAACCUGCCCAUAAGACUGGGAUAACUCCGGGAAACCGGGGCUAAUACCGGAUAACAUUUUGAACUGCAUGGUUCGAAAUUGAAAGGCGGCUUCGGCUGUCACUUAUGGAUGGACCCGCGUCGCAUUAGCUAGUUGGUGAGGUAACGGCUCACCAAGGCAACGAUGCGUAGCCGACCUGAGAGGGUGAUCGGCCACACUGGGACUGAGACACGGCCCAGACUCCUACGGGAGGCAGCAGUAGGGAAUCUUCCGCAAUGGACGAAAGUCUGACGGAGCAACGCCGCGUGAGUGAUGAAGGCUUUCGGGUCGUAAAACUCUGUUGUUAGGGAAGAACAAGUGCUAGUUGAAUAAGCUGGCACCUUGACGGUACCUAACCAGAAAGCCACGGCUAACUACGUGCCAGCAGCCGCGGUAAUACGUAGGUGGCAAGCGUUAUCCGGAAUUAUUGGGCGUAAAGCGCGCGCAGGUGGUUUCUUAAGUCUGAUGUGAAAGCCCACGGCUCAACCGUGGAGGGUCAUUGGAAACUGGGAGACUUGAGUGCAGAAGAGGAAAGUGGAAUUCCAUGUGUAGCGGUGAAAUGCGUAGAGAUAUGGAGGAACACCAGUGGCGAAGGCGACUUUCUGGUCUGUAACUGACACUGAGGCGCGAAAGCGUGGGGAGCAAACAGGA